AUUGAACGCUGGCGGCAGGCCUAACACAUGCAAGUCGAGCGCGCGGCGGACGGGUGAGUAAUGUAUGGGGAUGUGCGCGAUAGAGGGGGAUAACUACUGGAAACGGUGGAUAAUACCGCAUACUAUCGGCUGAACCCACAUGGGAGUAGCUAGUAGGUGGGGUAAAGGCUCACCGAGGCGACGAGCCCCAGCUGGUCUGAGAGGGGGAUCGGCCACACUGGGACUGAGACACGGCCCAGACUCCUACGGGAGGCAGCAGUAGGGAAUAUUGCGCAAUGGACGAAAGCCUGAUGGAGCAAUGCCGCGUGAGUGAAGAAGGCCUUCGGAUUGUAAAAUACUGUCAUCAGGGAAGCGGUACCUACACAGAAAGCCCCGGCUAACUCCGUGCCAGCAGCCGCGGUAAUAC
rnacentral:rRNA from 1 species